rnacentral:misc_RNA from 1 species
AAUUAAUUAAGGAAGAUUAAUACAUUAAUUUAUUAAUAUAAUGACAAGAAAACAUAAUAAUAAAUAUUGAAAAAUAGAAGAAGAACCAAAACUAAGACGAAAUGUAGACAGAGAUAGAGAAGCAUGCAAGUGGCCUAAGCAAUAGAGUGCUCUCAAAGUGGAUCACUAUGGACCACCAUAUAAAAUGGGCAAGCUUGCAAAUUAGAACAUGUGGUUCUUGUAAAGGUCGAUUGGCCUUGAGGAGAAAGGAGAAGAUUCUGGCAAGGAUACUAAUGUAGAGUUCCAAAACUUAGGUAUUCACCUUUCGGUGCCCACUAGAGCUUUGUGCUUAUUCAUUGCAUCAAAAGGUCCUUUGCAUUUCUGGUCCCUUUUAAAUCUCACCAGCCUCGUACUAUCUAUGGCCAAGGUUAGGUUUUUCUUUU